UACGUAGGGGGCAAGCGUUGUCCGGAUUUAUUGGGCGUAAAGCGCGUGUAGGCGGCCAGGUAGGUCCGCUGUGAAAACCCGAGGCUCAACCUCGGGACGUCGGCGGAAACCAUUUGGCUAGAGUCCGGAAGAGGAGAGUGGAAUUCCUGGUGUAGCGGUGAAAUGCGCAGAUAUCAGGAAGAACACCCGUGGCGAAAGCGGCUCUCUGGGACGGUACUGACGCUGAGGCGCGAAAGCGUGGGGAGCAAACAGG
rnacentral:rRNA from 1 species